AGAGUUUGAUCAUGGCUCAGGAUGAACGCUGGCGGCGUGCUUAACACAUGCAAGUCGAACGGGAAUGUUUCGCUGAUGCGAUUUCGGUCAAAUCUUGAAGCAUUUUAGUGGCGGACGGGUGAGUAACGCGUGGGUAACCUGCCCUGUACAGGGGGACAACAGUUGGAAACGACUGCUAAUACCGCAUAAGCGCACAGCUUCGCAUGAAGCAGUGUGAAAAACUCCGGUGGUACAGGAUGGACCCGCGUCUGUUAGAUAGUUGGUGAGGUAACGGCCCACCAAGUCAACGAUCAGUAGCCGGCCUGAGAGGGCGAACGGCCACAUUGGGACUGAGACACGGCCCAAACUCCUACGGGAGGCAGCAGUGGGGAAUAUUGCACAAUGGGGGAAACCCUGAUGCAGCGACGCCGCGUGAGUGAAGAAGUAUUUCGGUAUGUAAAGCUCUAUCAGCAGGGAAGAAAACAAUGACGGUACCUGACUAAGAAGCCCCGGCUAACUACGUGCCAGCAGCCGCGGUAAUACGUAGGGGGCAAGCGUUAUCCGGAUUUACUGGGUGUAAAGGGAGCGUAGACGGUAGACCAAGUCUGAAGUGAAAGCCCGGGGCUCAACCCCGGAACUGCUUUGGAAACUGGUAAACUAGAGUGCAGGAGAGGUAAGUGGAAUUCCUAGUGUAGCGGUGAAAUGCGUAGAUAUUAGGAGGAACACCAGUGGCGAAGGCGGCUUACUGGACUGUAACUGACGUUGAGGCUCGAAAGCGUGGGGAGCAAACAGGAUUAGAUACCCUGGUAGUCCACGCCGUAAACGAUGAUUACUAGGUGUCGGGGAGUUAAACUCUUCGGUGCCGCAGCAAACGCAAUAAGUAAUCCACCUGGGGAGUACGUUCGCAAGAAUGAGACUCAAAGGAAUUGACGGGGACCCGCACAAGCGGUGGAGCAUGUGGUUUAAUUCGAAGCAACGCGAAGAACCUUACCAAAUCUUGACAUCCCGGUGACAAACUGUGUAAAGCAGUCUUUCUUCGGAACACCGGUGACAGGUGGUGCAUGGUUGUCGUCAGCUCGUGUCGUGAGAUGUUGGGUUAAGUGCCAUAACGAGCGCAACCCCUCUCCUUAGUUGCCAUCAGGCUAAGCUGGGCACUCUGGGGACACUGCCACCGUAAGGUGUGAGGAAGGUGGGGAUGACGUCAAAUCAGCACGGCCCUUACGUCCGGGGCUACACACGUGUUACAAUGGCAGGUACAGAGAGACGGUUGUACGUAAGUACGAUCAAAUCCUUAAAGCCUGUCUCAGUUCGGACUGGGGUCUGCAACCCGACCCCACGAAGCUGGAUUCGCCAGUAAUCGCGCAUCAGCCAUGGCGCGGUGAAUACGUUCCCGGGCCUUGUACACACCGCCCGUCAAGCCAUGAAAGCCGGGGGCGCCUAAAGUCCGUGACCGUAAGGAGCGGCCUAGGGCGAAACUGGUAAUUGGGGCUAAGUCGUAACAAGGUA
rnacentral:rRNA from 1 species